rnacentral:rRNA from 1 species
GAUUAAUUGCCUGGAGAUGAGCUCGCGUCUGAUUAGCUAGUUGGUGUGGUAAGAGCGCACCAAGGCGACGAUCAGUAGCUGGUCUGAGAGGAUGAUCAGCCACACUGGGACUGAGACACGGCCCAGACUCCUACGGGAGGCAGCAGUGGGGAAUUUUCCGCAAUGGGCGAAAGCCUGACGGAGCAAUACCGCGUGAGGGAGGAAGGCUCUUGGGUUGUAAACCUCUUUUCUCAAGGAAUAAGAUCUGAAGGUACUUGAGGAAUAAGCAUCGGCUAACUCCGUGCCAGCAGCCGCGGUAAUACGGAGGAUGCAAGCGUUAUCCGGAAUGAUUGGGCGUAAAGGGUCCGCAGGUGGCAUUGUGUGUCUGCUGUCAAAGAAUGAGGCUCAACCUUAUCAAGGCAGUGGAAACUACAAAGCUAGAGUACGGUCGGGGUAGAAGGAAUUCCUGGUGUAGCGGUGAAAUGCGUAGAGAUCAGAAGAACACCGGUGGCGAAAGCGUUCUGCUAGACCUGUACUGACACUGAGGGACGAAAGCUAGGGGAGCGAAUGGGGAUUAGAUACUCCCAGUAGUC